AAUUUUAAUAUAUUAUUAAUUAAUUUUUAACUUUAUGUCAUUAUCCACACUUCAAAGGAUAAGCUUAGGAGUUCUUAUGGGUCUAAUACAAUUAAAUAAAUUGUGUAAGCUUAAAAUUAGCUAUCACAAAAGUUUGUUAUAAAAUAAUCACAAUAUCAAUAAAAAUUUAAAUAUUUAAUACCAAAUAUUAAUGAAGAUAAAAUUAAAAACUAUUAUUAAUUUUCACCUAUGCUAAGAUGAGUAUUAUUAAUUUUUAAAAAUGGAAUAAAUAUUAUUUUCCAUUAAAUAAAAUAAUUUAACUAUAUUAAUUAAGUAAAAGGAACUCGGCAAAUUAAUGCUCCGCCUGUUUAUCAAAAACAUGGCUCCUUGGAUUUAUAAAUAUAAGGAGUCAGACCUGCCCAGUGAAAAUAUUUUAACGGCCGCGGUACUCUGACCGUGCAAAGGUAGCAUAAUCACUUGCCUUAUAAUUGAAGGCUAGUAUGAAUGGUUAAACGUGAGCAAUACUGUCUCUUAUCUACUUCCUAAAAAUUAACCUUUAGGUUAAAAGGCCUAAAUUUCAUUAAAGGACAAGAAGACCCUGUCGAGCUUAAAAGACAAUAAUAGAAGUUAUUAUCAUAGAAAUAAAUAAAUCUAUACAGCUUUUUAGUUGGGGCGACUAAGGAACAAAUAAAGCUUCUUUUUAUAUAGUAAGCUAAAUAGCAUUGAUCCAGUAAACUGAUCAAAAAAAUUAGUUACCGCAGGGAUAACAGCAUAAUCUCUCUUGAGAGAUCAAAUCGAAAGGGGGGGUUGUGACCUCGAUGUUGGACUAGAAUAUCCGGAAGAUGCAGAAGUCUUC
rnacentral:rRNA from 1 species